rnacentral:rRNA from 1 species
GUUUGAGAGGGGCUUGCGUCUGAUUAGCUAGUUGGCGGGGUAACGGCUCACCAAGGCGAUGAUCAGUAGGGGUUCUGAGAGGAUUGGCCCCCACAUGGGUACUGAGAUACGGACCCAACUCCUACGGGAGGCAGCAGUAGGGAAUAUUGGGCAAUGGAGGCAACUCUGACCCAGCCAUGCCGCGUGCAGGAUGAAGGCGCUCAGCGUUGUAAACUGCUUUUAUCUAGGAAGAACGGCUGAUUUGCGAAUCAGUGUGACGGUACUAGAGGAAUAAGCACCGGCUAACUCCGUGCCAGCAGCCGCGGUAAUACGGAGGGUGCAAGCGUUGUCCGGAUUUAUUGGGUUUAAAGGGUGCGUAGGUGGUCCUGUAAGUCUGGUUUGAAAGCUGGUGGCUUAACCAUCAGAUGUGGCUGGAAACUGUGGGACUUGAAUGGGUUGGCGGUAGCUGGAACGGGUCAUGUAGCGGUGAAAUGCAUAGAUAUGACCCAGAACCCCGAUUGCGAAGGCAGGCUACUACGACUUGAUUGACACUGAGGCACGAGAGCAUGGGGAGCCAACAGGAUUAGAUACCCUGGUAGUCCAUGCCGUAAACGAUGAUUACUGGCUGUUUGUGAGAUAUCAUGAGUGGCUGAGCGAAAGCG